rnacentral:rRNA from 1 species
UACGUAGGUGGCAAGCGUUGUCCGGAUUUAUUGGGUUUAAAGGGUGCGUAGGCGGUUUUGUAAGUCAGUGGUGAAAUACUCCAGCUUAACUGGAGGGGUGCCAAUGAUACUGCAGAACUUGAGUACAGAUGAGGUAGGCGGAAUUGACGGUGUAGCGGUGAAAUGCGUAGAUAUCAAGAGGAACACCUGAGGUGAAGACGGGUUGCUGGGCCGACACUGACGCUGACAGCGCGAAAGCCAGGGGAGCAAACGGG